rnacentral:rRNA from 1 species
AACGAACGCUGGCGGCAUGCCUAACACAUGCAAGUCGAACGAACCCUUCGGGGUGAGUGGCGCACGGGUGCGUAACGCGUGGGAACCUGCCUUUAGGUUCGGAAUAACAGUUAGAAAUGACUGCUAAUACCGGAUAAUGUCUUCGGACCAAAGAUUUAUCGCCUUUAGAUGGGCCCGCGUUAGAUUAGCUUGUUGGUGGGGUAACGGCCUACCAAGGCGACGAUCUAUAGCUGGUCUGAGAGGAUGAUCAGCCACACUGGGACUGAGACACGGCCCAGACUCCUACGGGAGGCAGCAGUGGGGAAUAUUGGACAAUGGCGAAAGCCUGAUCCAGCAAUGCCGCGUGAGUGAUGAAGGCCUUAGGGUUGUAAAGCUCUUUACCAGGGAUGAUAAUGACAGUACCUGGAGAAUAAGCUCCGGCUAACUCCGUGCCAGCGCCGCGGUAA